rnacentral:lncRNA from 1 species
CUACCCGCCACGCGCUCUUCGCUGGCCUGUGGGACACAGGCCUCCCCCCCCACCUCCCCUUCUCGGCCUUCGCGAGUGUGGGCGCCUCGGGGCACUGGCGAGCCGCUCCAG